AGAGUUUGAUCCUGGCUCAGAUUGAACGCUGGCGGCAUGGCUAAAACAUGCAAGUCGUACGUGCCCUUCGGGGCAAGUGGCGAAAGGGCGAGUAACGCGAUCGAACGUAUCCCGAGGUGGGGGAUAGCCAGGGGAAACCCUGGGUAAUACCCCAUGUCCUCUCCGGAGAAAAGGUUUACCGCCUUGGGAGCGGCGAUCGUCCUAUCAGGUAGUUGGUGAGGUAACGGCUCACCAAGCCGAAGACGGGUAGCGGGCGUGAGAGCGUGGCCCGCCGCAUCGGGACUGAGACACUGCCCGGACUCCUACGGGAGGCUGCAGUAACGAAUCUUCCGCAAUGGGCGAAAGCCUGACGGAGCAAUGCCGCGUGUGGGAUGAAGCAGUUACGCUGUGUAAACCACUGUCAGGUCCUAGAAACACUGAUCGGGACCAGAGGAAGGGCCGGCUAAACUCGUGCCAGCAGCCGCGGUAAUAC
rnacentral:rRNA from 1 species